UAGGGAAUCUUCGGCAAUGGACGAAAGUCUGACCGAGCAACGCCGCGCGAGUGAAGAAGGUUUUCGGAUCGUAAAACUCUGUUGUUAGAGAAGAACAAGGACGUUAGUAACUGAACGUCCCCUGACGGUAUCUAACCAGAAAGCCACGGCUAACUACGUGCCAGCAGCCGCGGUAAUACGUAGGUGGCAAGCGUUGUCCGGAUUUAUUGGGCGUAAAGCGAGCGCAGGCGGUUUCUUAAGUCUGAUGUGAAAGCCCCCGGCUCAACCGGGGAGGGUCAUUGGAAACUGGGAGACUUGAGUGCAGAAGAGGAGAGUGGAAUUCCAUGUGUAGCGGUGAAAUGCGUAGAUAUAUGGAGGACCACCAGUGGCGAAGGCGGCUCUCUGGUCUGUAACUGACGCUGAGGCUCGAAAGCGUGGGGAGCAAACAGG
rnacentral:rRNA from 1 species